rnacentral:rRNA from 1 species
GACGAACGCUGGCGGCGUGCCUAAUACAUGCAAGUUGAGCGCUGAAGGUUGGUACUUGUACCAACUGGAUGAGCAGCGAACGGGUGAGUAACGCGUGGGGAAUCUGCCUUUGAGCGGGGGACAACAUUUGGAAACGAAUGCUAAUACCGCAUAAAAACUUUAAACACAAGUUUUAAGUUUGAAAGAUGCAAUUGCAUCACUCAAAGAUGAUCCCGCGUUGUAUUAGCUAGUUGGUGAGGUAAAGGCUCACCAAGGCGAUGAUACAUAGCCGACCUGAGAGGGUGAUCGGCCACAUUGGGACUGAGACACGGCCCAAACUCCUACGGGAGGCAGCAGUAGGGAAUCUUCGGCAAUGGACGAAAGUCUGACCGAGCAACGCCGCGUGAGUGAAGAAGGUUUUCGGAUCGUAAAACUCUGUUGGUAGAGAAUAACGUUGGUGAGAGUGGAAAGCUCAUCAAGUGACGGUAACUACCCAGAAAGGGACGGCUAACUACGUG